AUGAACGCUGGCGGCGUGCCUAAUACAUGCAAGUCGAGCGCACAGACGAGGAGCUUGCUCCUUUGACGUUAGCGGCGGACGGGUGAGUAACACGUGGGUAACCUACCUAUAAGACUGGGAUAACUUCGGGAAACCGGAGCUAAUACCGGAUAAUAUUUCGAACCGCAUGGUUCGAUAGUGAAAGAUGGCUUUGCUAUCACUUAUAGAUGGACCUGCGCCGUAUUAGCUAGUUGGUAAGGUAACGGCUUACCAAGGCAACGAUACGUAGCCGACCUGAGAGGGUGAUCGGCCACACUGGAACUGAGACACGGUCCAGACUCCUACGGGAGGCAGCAGUAGGGAAUCUUCCGCAAUGGGCGAAAGCCUGACGGAGCAACGCCGCGUGAGUGAUGAAGGUCUUCGGAUCGUAAAACUCUGUUAUUAGGGAAGAACAAACGUGUAAGUAACUGUGCACGUCUUGACGGUACCUAAUCAGAAAGCCACGGCUAACUACGUG
rnacentral:rRNA from 1 species